AAUUUGGUACAAUGGGGGAAACCCUGAUCCAGCCAUCCCGCGUGUAUUAUGAAGGCUUUCGGGUUGUAAAGUACUUUGGGCAGAGAAGAAAAGGUACUUCCUAAUAAGAUGUACUGCUGACGGUAUCUGCAGAAUAAGCACCGGCUAACUACGUGCCAGGAGCCGCGGUAAUACGCAGGGUGCAAGCGUUAAUCGGAAUUACUGGGCGUAAAGCGUGUGUAGGCGGUUCGGAAAGAAAGAUGUGAAAUCCCAGGGCGCAGCCUUGGAACUGCAUUUUUAACUGCCGAGCUAGAGUAUGUCAGAGGGGGGUAGAAUUCCACGUGUAGCAGUGAAAUGCGUAGAUAUGUGGAGGAAUACCGAUGGCGAAGGCAGCCCCCUGGGAUAAUACUGACGCUCAGGUACGAAAGCGUGGGGAGCAAACA
rnacentral:rRNA from 1 species